AUUGAACGCUGGCGGCAUGCCUUACACAUGCAAGUCGAACGGCAGCACGGACUUCGGUCUGGUGGCGAGUGGCGAACGGGUGAGUAAUGUAUCGGAACGUACCUUUCAGUGGGGGAUAACUAUCCGAAAGGAUAGCUAAUACCGCAUAUUCUGUGAGCAGGAAAGCAGGGGAUCGCAAUACCUUGCGGUGAUUGAGCGGCCGAUAUCAGAUUAGCUAGUUGGUGGGGUAAAGGCCUACCAAGGCUACGAUCUGUAGCGGGUCUGAGAGGAUGAUCCGCCACACUGGAACUGAGACACGGUCCAGACUCCUACGGGAGGCAGCAGUGGGGAAUUUUGGACAAUGGGGGCAACCCUGAUUCAGCCAUGCCGCGUGAGUGAAGAAGGCCUUCGGGUUGUAAAGCUCUUUCGUCCGGGAAGAAAUCGCAUCAGCUAAUACCUGGUGUGGAUGACGGUACCGGAAUAAGAAGCACCGGCUAACUACGUGCCAGCCGCCGCGGUAA
rnacentral:rRNA from 1 species